AUGCCGCCACUGUACUCUCUUCGUUCUUCUCCGCGUUCGCUUCUUAUUUCCGCGCUUCCUCCAUCGCGAAACGGUCUUCGAUUCCAUCUCCGUCGCGCCGGCAGACAUCUCUUCCGUCGUCUUCUUCUUCCGUUCGACGUCAUUCGUGAUUGCUUCAGUGAGCACCGUCUUCGCUUCUUCUCCGAUCUACCUUUUCCGAUGAUCUCCGCCGCGCCGGUAAUCCACCUUCAGGUUGAUGUGAAGAUGAUGAAGUGCGUUGAAGUUUAA